CGACGGUGCAAGUCCCGUGUUUUUUCAGAGAUAGAGUCUUUCCCUUGUUGUACGUUCUAUUCACGUAUUUUUAGAGAAGCUCUGGAUUCAUUCUUAUAAUCCAAAAACAUCCCAAUCCAUUCCUUUCUCUUCUUCGUAUCAAUAGACGAAUCUUUGAGUAGCCGAACUCUUUCGUAUACAAGUACAGUAGUCGCAAUGGGUUGAGAGCUUGCGAUUGCAAAUAUCCAUUUUAAAUUUGCAAUAGUGGAUAUUUGUUUGAGGUGGAGGAAAAAUGUCGUUUGAUCUUAUGUUGAAGCCAUCAUGUAG
rnacentral:misc_RNA from 1 species